UACAGAGGGGCAAGCGUUAUUCGGAAUUAUUGGGCGUAAAGGGCGCGUAGGCGGCUUUGCAAGUGACGGGUGAAAUCCCACGGCUUAACCGUGGAACUGCCUGUCAGACUGCAUGGCUUGAGACCAGGAGAGGUGAGUGGAAUUCCCAGUGUAGCGGUGAAAUGCGUAGAUAUUGGGAGGAACACCAGUGGCGAAGGCGGCUCACUGGACUGGUACUGACGCUGAGGCGCGAAAGCGUGGGAGCAAACAGG
rnacentral:rRNA from 1 species